GAUCACUCAUUCAGAUUGAAACGCAGUGUUGGCUGUUUCCAGCUUUAACACCUCCCUCUCCCCCCUGGCAUUUCAUUUCCAUUGUGCAAUACUGCAAUUGCUGAAACCAGAAGGAAAAGUAGGAUUGUAACUUUUUCUCCAACGAUGCAACAAACUUUUGUUCUAUUUGCGGUUCUCUUGCUCUUGGGAGUGACUCCAGCAGGAACAGCUCCUCAUGGGAAUGCAUCAAACAGUGUCUGGUGUGAACACCACAAAGCCCUUCACAAGCGUAUGGACCAUGUAGAAAAGAACGUAGAAGAAACAGUCAAUUAUCUGGACACUGAGUUAUCAUCUCUGCUCGAUAUAAUAGAAGCGCCAAAGUGGAGCACACUCCUUCUUCCUGGUCCCACUGUCAUGGAUAUUUUUGAGAAGGAUUCGAGUUGAGCACCCCAAGCGCUGUUGAGGAAUGGGAAACCAGCAAAACAACCAGAGAGCAAUCUGUGCACAACAUUGAAAUCUAACCAACUGAAGCAACUAUAUUAUUGGAUGUUCUGCCAUAGUAUCCCACAAGAACAUGAAAGCUUUCCUAUAGGGAUUCCUGACUAUAACCUGAGACGAUAGUGAACCCUGUGCUCGUGCUCAAUCUUUUAAAGGAGCAGUAUGUUUUUAUAAUAAUUCUUGUAUUUGAUAUCGCGCUUUAUUACAUUGCCGAGAUGUCUCCCAAGUGGUUCACAGAAUUUUACUGUAAUGUGUAGUGACUGUGUAUUUUGUGGGUCAACCCAAAAGCUGAUUUAUGCACAGCAAUGUUCCACAAAGAGCCAUGAAAUCAAUGAUCAAUUUUAUUUUGGGGGAUUAUAGCCAGGACAAUGAAAGAGAGAAACUCCCUUCUCUUUUUCAAUAGUGCCUUGGGGUCUCUUAACGUCUCAUCUGAAGGACGGCACCUCUGAUAAUGCAACACUGCCCCAAGCACUGUACGGGAGCCUAGACUGAGUUCAGUGUCCUCAACGUGGACUAGGGUAGAGAGAGGGGGGGGCGGCGCGGAGAGAGAGAGCAGGAAAAAAUGAGAGACCCGGGAGUGAUAGUCUGGGUGGGGGCAAAGAGAGUGAGAGACGGGGGGCUUGAUAGGGGGCCAGUGAGAGUCUGAGUGGUAGGGGUGUUGGGAGUACGAGGUUGGGUGGGGGCACAAUUCUGCUAUCGCUGCACCUCCCCUUCACGGCUGGAAUUCUGCAGCUGAAAGAUAUAACACUUGAGGUGAGCCCCUCCCUCCCGUCUGCCUGCAGCUUCUGCACUUGUCUCUUUAUCUCCUCGGCUCCGGGCUGUUUCUGUGCUCGAUAAGAGACAUAGCUAUGAUAGGACGGAACACGUUCUGCAUCACAAGGAGCUGAGGAACUCAGGCAAGGACCUGAUUACUCAGGCUCCUAUCGGCUCCUCAACCUCAGGCGCUGACAGCAUCACUGUUCAUGAUGCACUCUACACCUCACCGAGCCAGUACGGGAACCCUUGGUGCCUUGUUCGACUCAACUAAACUGCCUUUUGAACCCUGUAUCCGUGCAUGACCAGUUCUGCCUUUCCUCACCUCCGCAACAUUGUCUGCCUCCGCCACUAUCUCUCCCCUCAGGCCGCCAAGAUCCUCAUCCAUGCUUUCAUUAAGUCUAGGCUUGACUGCGCCAACUCUCUGCUUGCUGGACUUCCCAACUUUUCCCUCCACAAGUUUCCAGAUUAUUCAGAACUCUGCAGCUCAUGUCCACUCCCGCACUAAGCUCCAGGAGCCGUUCAUCGCUAUCCUCGUUGGGCUCCAAUGGCUCCUCAACCCCCAGAGGAUCAAGUUUAAGAUCCUCGUCCUUGCUUUCAAAACCCUCCAUGGUCUUGCUGCUCCCUAUCUCCUUAAUCUACUAAAGCUUUACUGUCCUGUCCGCGCUCUCUGGGCACUGACCUCCUCCACAUAAAGCCAUGUAUAAAUGCAAUUGUUGUGCUAUGUCUCGAUGAUGUUCUCUAUAUUAAAAUGGAAGAAUUAUUAACUUCACUACUCAACUAAACGUUACAAAAGUCGAGAGAGGCACCUGAACAUCAGCAAUGUAAAAAUUAUCCAGUGGUGUAUUUAUAAUGUACCUUGUGUUAGGUUACUGGUCAUGUGUGAGUGUGUGUAAAGGACUACGUUUUGUAAUACUGUU